rnacentral:tRNA from 1 species
GUGGGUAUAGCUCAGUGGUAGAGUGCAAGCUUAGUGUGCACAAGGUCCUGGGUUCAAUCCUCAGUACCUCCA